CGGCGAGUGAAGCGGCAACAGCUCAAAUUUGAAAUCUGGCCCUUGGGUCCGAAUUGUAAUUUGUAGAGGAUGAUUUUGGUGCGGUAUCUUCCGAGUUCCUUGGAACAGGACGCCUUAGAGGGUGAGAGCCCCGUACGGUUGAAUGCCUAGCCUCUGUAAAUCUCCUUCGACGAGUCGAGUAGUUUGGGAAUGCUGCUCUAAAUGGGAGGUAAAUUUCUUCUAAAGCUAAAUAUUGGCCAGAGACCGAUAGCGCACAAGUAGAGUGAUCGAAAGAUGAAAAGCACUUUGAAAAGAGGGUUAAAUAGCACGUGAAAUUGUUGAAAGGGAAGGAUUUGUGACCAGACUUUUUCUGGGCGGAUCAUCCGGGGUUCUCUCCGGUGCACUUCGCCCAGUAAAGGCCAGCAUCGGUUUUCGGCGUGGGAUAAAAGCAGUAGGAAUGUGGCUCUCUACGGGGAGUGUUAUAGCCUAUUGUAUAAUACCGCGCUGGGGACCGAGGUUCGCGCUUCUGCAAGGAUGCUGGCGUAAUGGUUAUCAAUCACCCGUCUUGAAACACGGACCAAGGAGUCGAACAUUUGUGCGAGUGUUUGGGUGUUAAACCCUCACGCGUAAUGAAAGUGAACGGAGGUGAGAGCCCUUACGGGUGCAUCAUCGACCGAUCCUGAAGUUUUCGGAUGGAUUUGAGUAAGAGCAUAACUGUUCGGACCCGAAAGAUGGUGAACUAUGCGUGGAUAGGGUGAAGCCAGAGGAAACUCUGGUGGAGGCUCGCAGCGGUUCUGACGUGCAAAUCGAUCGUCAAAUCUGCGCAU
rnacentral:rRNA from 1 species